UUACCUACUUUGAGAUGUGAUACAAACGUUUUAAAAAAAAAAAAGUGAUACAAGCGCUUUCCUAUUCACAAACCUACAAGCCUGCUUAGCGUGGGAGUAGAUCUUUUGUGAGCUACAGCAGCUCACUUUAAAUGUGUCUUUGCGACGGGUGAGAAGAGUAGCAGCCAAGAGCGAGCGUGCGUGCCCUGCAAGUGGACCGCCGAGAGCCGAGCGGCGAGCGACCGAGACCAUUUUCCAAGCCCUUCGCUUUACCUGGCUACGUACCAGAGGUUGGUGAAAACGAGCGACACCCAAGUAAACGACGGCC
rnacentral:lncRNA from 1 species